UACAGAGGUCCCAAGCGUUGUUCGGAUUCAUUGGGCGUAAGGGGUGCGUAGGCGGCGCGGUAAGUCGGGUGUGAAAUCUCGGGGCUUAACUCCGAAACUGCAUUCGAUACUGCCGUGCUUGAGGACUGGAGAGGAGACUGGAAUUUACGGUGUAGCGGUGAAAUGCGUAGAUAUCGUAAGGAAGACCAGUGGCGAAGGCGGGUCUCUGGACAGUUCCUGACGCUGAGGCACGAAGGUCAGGGGAGCAAACGGG
rnacentral:rRNA from 1 species